CUCGCAGUGACAGCUCUCGCAUGUCUCGUGCUGCAAAGUUAUACCUGGCCACUGCUGUACUGACCACCCGAGGAGUAAACACUGCGAAGACGGAAACGGCGUUCACAUGGAGAGUCACUGGCCUGAGGAGAGGAAGACAGCACCAGUGAAGACAAUGAGAGUGGGAGGUAGUCUGUCUCAAUUAUUUUACUCUUCCUUGCUAUACCCACAGCGAAGAUGGCAACGGAUUCAAUUUCCAGCUAACCAAAGGAGCCCAUCCGAGGGUACUGCCAGAGGCCAGAUUGCAUAAUUCCUCCAGCUUGUACCGGGUCUGACCAGUGGUCUACUUCUAGCUGGAAAAGCUAUGGAUACCGCCACAGUAGUCCGAGGAGAAGCAGUUCAGCUGAUAUUCCAUCCAGAUGUCUAAGUUUCUCACCCUACCUCUAAGGGUAAACUUAACCAGGAGACUCAUUUCAUUCACUUCUAUCUGUGAUCUAAUUCUUUUGGGCAUUACCCAAAGCUCGUGACCAUAGGCGGGGGUUGUAACCUAGGUAGACUGUUAAAUCAAGAAUGAUUCCACAACCCUUAUGGACAACAUUGGGAAAAAGCUUCCUUGCCGAGAACAGAAAGAGUGGGGCCCUCAACUGGAGCCCUGUCUAAAGGGAAAGCUCACUGGCAAGUGCCUGGUGGCCGACAAUUGAAGGGACGAUCGACAAUUGGUUGAUCUGACGCCAACGUCCAGGCAAUUUUACCUCACUUACUAUGAGCUUACUUACCAAGAUGUUAUAAAAAUUAGUCUAGAACCUGCUCCUUACUCUGUAUUUAGAUAUGCUUCUGGUGGAGAGGCAUGUCCGUCUGCUGAGCCUCUGUAAUCAGCACGAGUGACAAGCCUCAAUCCUUAAUUACAGUUUGCUGUCUCUUUUCAAUGGAUCAGUGAAUGUGGACACCCCACAUCCCCAUUCUCCCUAGUUUAAUAAAAGGGUUUACACUUGCACACCCCUUUUAAAUAGCUUGCAGAUAGGCAGUGUGAUAUCUUUAGGCUCACCUUCGGCAUGUGCAUACAACUUUCGUACGCACAGUUUAAGCACAGAUUUGUGCGUAAACUGAAUGUAAACAAACUUUUGUUCGGCUACAAGAAAACUCCAUAGGGCCCUUUUAAUGGUUGAUGUUGUUCAUUUUCCACUGGCCAAGCAGGAUUACUAUUCAUGAAACAAAACUGCAUCAGCGAGGUAACAAGAAAGAAAGGUAAUUGGACUGUCAUUUAUCAGCUGUAAUGUACGAAAUUGUAUGAUUUUGAUUAGCAUAGUGUGUUGCUUGCGGAGUAGCGAUAGAGCAGGCUAUCGUCAGGCUGUGUGUUGGUAUUGGUUGAUAUGUGAUACCAGGUUGAAAGCCAUUGCAUUCUUAUUUUGUGCACAAGAUUCUGGAGAAAAGGAACACUUGGAAGGCUUACCUGGCGAGCGUGUGCUGGCCCGCGUUAGCGAACGUUCUCUUGACUUGUAGGGGUAUCGCAAUGUGGUAUCUAACAACUUAAAGCUUUCUUUCAGUGAAUGGGACUGAUAGUACU